rnacentral:lncRNA from 1 species
UCUCCAGGGCACGUCUUUUCUCCUGGGUUUCUAUGUUUGUUUUACUCACUGCCUCUCGUUCCUCUGCUUACGACAUUUUCAUGAAUAAGCCAGAAGAUGGUCAGCACAGAAGCCUCCCUACAACCUGGAAAAAGAAAUGAGCUUUAACUUUGAAUAUCACACAGACAUAAUGAGGUUCCGUAAGGGAGGCCAUGAAAGAGAGAGUGCAUGUGGUGGACAUAUUAAGCUGAUAUGCAGACCUGCUCUUUCCGGACUUGUUUCCUGCCAGGGAUGGUGUCGGACAAGUGCUGAAGGCACUGUUUGUUUCCUGCCCCCAUGCUGAGCUCAGACCACAACCGAAUCCAGAGCCUGCCAUUUAUCACUUGACCACGUGCAUCUGAACCUGCAAGACACUUGCACAGCCUCCACUGAGGUGUGAAAACUGACAGUUUCCUUCUCCUGCCACUGGUUCUGCAGUAAUUAAAGCUUUUUUGCUAUCGCACUC